rnacentral:tRNA from 1 species
GGGGCUGUGGCUCAGUGGUAAAACAUUUCUUUGGCAUGCAGAAGGUUCUGGGUUCAAUCCUUGGCAUCUCCA